CAGCUCAGGCCCGGUCUCAAAGCGAGCUAACCCUUCGCCUUUUACUAAAGGUUACCGUGCGAACGGGCCACUAAUGAGCCUUUAGGCCAAUUUUUGGAUGGCCCUGAUCGUUUGACCGGGGCC